GAAAAUGCAAAAGUGGAAAGGAAUUCAACCGGAAAUCUGCAGAAGCUUCCUUUCGAAGUCUGGUGAAAACUCACGAAAAAUAUGGUUGGGUUACACCGCCUUUAGCUGAAGGUUAAUGAAAUAAACUGUCAAUUCCAGGAGAUGAUUUAGAGAAAUGCUGGAUGCCCCAUAAAGAUGGCUUCGGCUUUCAGGAAGUUAUUUAAAUCUACCGAUAGACUUUCUGACGAACGGAGAAAAAAGAAUCGUGGUUCACCAAGUCGACAAUUCGCAGCCAGGUUAUUAGGCCAAUAUGAAAGUCCUAGAGUAUCAAGAAGAGACUCGAAAAUUAGUCCAGCGGAUGCAUCGGUUCCAGCUACAUCUAAAAAGUCUUCCAAAGUAGACUCUGUCAUAUCAGAAAGUGUUAUGAGACAUAAUCAAGCCGUACGUACAAGAAGAUUAAUGAAGGAAUAUCAAGAGAUGACCAGGUUGAUGAGGAACGUAGAGAAACCUCCAUACACGGUAGAAUUGGUAGAAGAUAAUCUAUACGAUUGGAACAUAAAACUUCACCAGAUCGAUCCAGAAUCAGAUUUUUAUCGAGACAUGCAAGAGACACACACACCAUACGUCCUGAUUAACAUAAAUUUCCCCGAAAACUUUCCAUUUUCUCCGCCAUUCAUGCGUGUGAUCUCACCCCAUAUUGAAAAGGGUUUCGUCAUGGAAGGUGGUGCUAUCUGCAUGGAACUCUUAACACCCAGAGGUUGGGCAUCGGCAUACACAGUCGAGGCAGUCAUCAUGCAGUUUGCUGCUAGUUUAGUCAAAGGUCAAGGCCGGAUAGCCCGAAAAUGCAAAAGUGGAAAGGAAUUCAACCGGAAAUCUGCAGAAGCUUCCUUUCGAAGUCUGGUGAAAACUCACGAAAAAUAUGGUUGGGUUACACCGCCUUUAGCUGAAGGUUAAUGAAAUAAACUGUCAAUUCCAGGAACAGACUUCAUCUUACAAAUCCGAAUACGAUUUAAGUAACAAGCUAUGAAUUUUAAUGUGAGGUUAAACGAUUUUCUUAUGAGCCAGUGGUUCGAGAGAUACAACGACUAAACUUCCAGUCAAGUACGGUAGAGUUUCAUCUCCAAAAAUGGAUCCACUGUCGAGUCCGAGUAGCAGCCAUUUUCAAAAAUGGUUGCACAGCGGCGGUGUUCCAUUCUGUCUCGUUGUUGUCUUUAAUCGUCAGUUCAAUUUCGAACCACAAAUAAUGACUGGAGAGAGAGGGUCUACAAUCAUUUAUAGGCCUACAUUAAUAAAAAAAAUAAUAAUAAAAAACAAUUCGACGAAGAUGAAUUUAGUAAACAAUUUUUCCAAUACAGAAAAUAAAUAGACUUUUUAGUUUACGAUAUUUUAAUUUAUUCCGAUAAUUAUUUUUGUGUCUAACAAUUUAUUUUUAUAUUUGUAAUUAAGUCUCGAGGCCCUCCCUCUCCUCCUCUACAUGUUUCGUCAUUUUGUCUAUUCAUGUUUCCCUUCUUAUAUAGAAUAUUAUAGCAUUAGUCGAUUAUAGCGUAUUAUUCGAUAAUAUAAAUACUUUUUCCUGGGAAAAUUAAUAGUACAAUGUUAUACAACUCGUACCUGAAGAUACUGGAUGUUUCUGUAUUUAUCAAACUUGAAGCCAUGUCACAUUUUUGGUGCAUCACUUAAUAUUAAAAACAUU
rnacentral:misc_RNA from 1 species